rnacentral:rRNA from 1 species
GACGAACGCUGGCGGCGUGCUUAACACAUGCAAGUCGAACGGUAAGGCCCUUCGGGGUACACGAGUGGCGAACGGGUGAGUAACACGCGGGUGAUCUGCCCUGCACUUCGGGAUAAGCCUGGUAACUGGGUCUAAUAUCGGAUAGGACCCUGGGCUGCAUGUCGUGGGGUGGAAAGCUUUUGCGGUGGGGGAUGGGCCCGCGGCCUAUCAGCUUGUUGGUGGGGUGAUGGCCUACCCAGGCGACGACGGGGAGCCGGCCUGAGAGGGGGACCGGCCACACUGGGACUGAGAUACGGCCCAGACUCCUACGGGAGGCAGCAGUGGGGAAUAUUGCACAAUGGGCGCAAGCCUGAUGCAGCGACGCCGCGUGAGGGAUGACGGCCUUCGGGUUGUAAACCUCUUUCAGCACCGACGAAGCGCAAGUGACGGUAGGAGCAGAAGAAGGACCGGCCAACUACGUGCCAGCCGCCGCCGUAA